rnacentral:ncRNA from 1 species
UGGGCGAGAACUGGGCUCCUGGGCUAGUUCUGCUGGUUUUCCCCACGUUGCCUUCGUAUGCGUGAGCCGCGAAUCAAGCUGCACACAUGUGGUGCCGGUGUAGCCGUCAGCCGUGCUUUAUUGGCAGACAAUGGCAUGUGGCUUGGUGCGUGUUGAGGGGAAAUGGGUGACGUGCUGGGCAAGUUAGAAAGGCGCGUCGAUAGCGCCCAUUUUCUCGCUAUUCUUAAACAACGGUGUCCAGUUUGGCGUCUGCGCCUCACCUAGCUAUUGCCCGGACCGUCGGUAGCGAUGAAAGGUGGGGAGAAAGCUCCUCGUUUUGAGUUGAGUAGACUUAAUGAGCAUCAGCGGGUAUGCCGCCAAAAACCAAAAACACAAUCAGUUAAGUUUAUGUUGUUGAAUUGUCGAGGAUGAGCGCCGUUCUCGUGCAGCGCAGCUUACGUUGUUGUUGCUAGUGGUUUCGAGACCUUCCGAGGUGGAGAUUCUUUGGUGGAAACCGCCUUAAUCGCAGUGGCUUGAACCGGGCAAAAGUCGUAACAAGGUUUCCGUAGGUGAACCUGCGGAAGGAUCAUUAUCGAGCCAAGAAAAAAAAAAGUCUCCGAACGUGCAUAAGCACAAUUUGCACGUAUGCGUGAGCCGCGAAUCAAGCUGCACACAUGUGGUGCCGGUGUAGCCGUCAGCCGUGCUUUAUUGGCAGACAAUGGCAUGUGGCUUGGUGCGUGUUGAGGGGAAAUGGGUGACGUGCUGGGCAAGUUAGAAAGGCGCGUCGAUAGCGCCCAUUUUCUCGCUAUUCUUAAACAACGGUGUCCAGUUUGGCGUCUGCGCCUCACCUAGCUAUUGCCCGGACCGUCGGUAGCGAUGAAAGGUGGGGAGAAAGCUCCUCGUUUCGAGUUGAGUAGACUUAAUGAGCAUCAGCUGGGAUGCCGCCAAAAACCAAAAACACAAUCAGUUAAGUUGAUGUUGUUGAAUUGUCGAGGAUGAGCGCUGUUCUCGUGCAACGCUGCGCAGCUUAUGUUGUUGUUGCUAGUGAACAUGCUCGAGUCGACGAAAUAUGUACAAAUCUUAGCGGUGGAUCACUCGGUUCGUGGAUCGAUGAAGAACGCAGCUAGCUGCGAUAAAUAGUGCGAAUUGCAGACACAUUGAGCACUAAAAUUUCGAACGCACAUUGCGCCAUCGAGUUCAUUCCCGUUGGCACGUCUGGCUGAGGGUCAGAAUAAUAAGGAGUACGAUCGGCGCGCCUAUUUAUGGAAUGUGCUUAACGCGCAAGGUUCUGGUGCAUUCUCUCGCAAGGUGCAUUCGGUGAGCUAUGGUGGUGUGGUAAUGGAUAUUGUGCAAUUAUACCGCGUACCUUGCCAAGCCAAUAUACGCAUAAGAAAUCGCUGUCGUUUGCUCGUAAAGAGGCAAAAUUGGCCAUCGGUGUAUGUUGUGUUGCUUGACGAUACGGCCUCCAGCAAACGUUGUUUAUUGCCUGGUGGUGGCAGCAUUCAGGUUGGAGGUGACGUUGUCGGUCGCUUGAAGGAGGAAUGCAUGGCGAAUGGUUGAAAUGAGAUUUUUUUGACCUCAGCUCAGUCGUGAGCACCCGCUGAAUUUAAGCAUAUAACUAAGCGGAGGAAAAGAAACUAACGAGGAUUCCUCUAGCAACGGCGAGUGAACGGGGAAAAGCCUAGCGCUGAAUCCAUUGGCCACUGGUCGCUUGGAAUUGUAACGUAUAGAUGCGGUUGUCCGUUUGUUUCGCGCACCCAAAGUCCCCUUGAGUGGGGCUAUAGUCCAAAGUCUCGUCUAUCGAAAGGGAAACGGGUUAAUAUUCCCGUACCUGGACACGGAGAUAAGCGCUCAUUGCGAGCGUUUAGCGCGGCAACGCAAACGAACUCGGUAACGCUGAAUAGAGCCCGAGCUAGAGUUCUCUUUUCUAGUUAAGGAACGAAUUCCCUGGAAUCGGUUCAGCCGGCGAUAGGGAUGUUGUUUCCGUAAAGCGCCACGGUUCCUGUGGUGUCUCGUGCGCUCUAUUCGGCCCUUGAAAAACCGAGGGAGGCUAUUUGAAUUUCGUGCCAGGCCGUACCGAUAUCCGCAGCAGGUCUCCAAGGUGAACAGCCUCUAGUCGAUAGAAUAAUGUAGGUAAGGGAAGUCGGCAAAUUAGAUCCGUAACUUCGGGAAAAGGAUUGGCUCUAAGGACUGGGCCGGUCGGGCUGCAGUGUGAAGUGAGCUCGGUUUGAUCCAUGCAGUGCAACGCUCGGCAACGGGUGGCGCUCGGCUAGCGUUCGAACUGUCUCGUGGACCGCUGCAGCUGCGUGCCGCGUCCUCGCGGGCGUUGGUGCUUCGGCCGGCGCUAAACAGUCGACUUAGAACUGGCACGGACUCGGGGAAUCCGACUGUCUAAUUAAAACAGAGGAGACAGAUGGCCCUUGCGGGCGUUGACUGUCUCUGAUUUCUGCCCAGUGCUCUGAAUGUAAAAGUGAAGAAAUUCAACCAAGCGCGGGUAAACGGCGGGAGUAACUAUGACUCUCUUAAGGUAGCCAAAUGCCUCGUCAUCUAAUUAAAGUUCCAUUGUGAGGGUGCACCUGGAACCUUACCUCCAGGCGCUCGUCUGUGGCGAGUGAGUUGUAUAAUUCCCGGAAUAACGCCUCACGU